rnacentral:sRNA from 1 species
AGCUUUUUUCCGUAGCUGGCAAGGAGCUGCGAUCCUUUGGAGGAGAAGAGGCACUCUGGUUUUUUGAAUUUUCAGCUUUUCUGCUCUGGUUUCUCGCCAUCUUUGUGGUUUUAUCUACCUUUGGUGUUUGAUGUUGGUGACCUACAGACGGGGUUUUGGUGUGGAUGUCCUUUUUGUUGAUUUUGAGCUAUUCCUUUCUGUUUGUUAGUUUUCCUUCAAACAGUUUCCUCAGCUGCAGGUCUGUUGGAGUUUGCUGGAGGUCCACUCCAGUCCCUGUUUGCCUUGGUAUCACCAGCGGAGGCUGCAGAACAGCAAAUAUUGCAGAACAGCAAAUAUUGCAGAACAGCAAAUAUUUCAGAACAGCAAAUAUUGUUGCCUGAUCCUUCCUCUGGAAGCUUUGUCCCAGAGGGGCACCCGCCUGUAUGAGAUGUCAGUCGGCCCCUACUGGGAGGUGUCUCCCAGUUAGUCUACACAGGGUUCAGGGACCCAUUUGAGAAGGCAGUCUGUCUGUUCUAAGAGCUCAAACACCAUGCUGGGAGAACCACUCCUCUCUUCAGUGCUGUCAGACAGGGAUGUUUAAGUCUGCAGAGGUUCCUGCUGCCUUUUGUUCAGUUAUGCACUGCCCCCAGAGGUGGAGUCUAUAGAGGCAGCAAGCCUUCCCUUGCUGCAGUGGGGUCCACCCAGUUUGAGCUGCCCAGCUGCUUUGCUUUCCUACUCAAGCCUCAGCAAUGGUGAACGACCCUCCUCCUGCCAGACUGCUGCCUUGCAGGUUGAUCUCAGACUACUGCAUUAGCAGUGAGCAAGGCUCUGUGGGAAUGGGACCCGCCAAACCAGGCACGAGAUAUAAUCUCCUGGUGUGCCAUUUGCUAAGACCAUUGGAAAAGUGCAGUAUUUGAGCAGGAGUGUCUUGUUUUUCCAGGUACAGUCUGUCACGGCUUCCCUUGUCUAGAAAGGGAAAUCCCCUGACCCCUUACACUUCCUGGGUGAGGCAAUGCCCUGCCCUGCUUCAGCUCACCCUCCGUGGGCUGCACGCACUGUCCAACCAGUCCCAGUGAGAUGAACCAGGUACCUCAGCUGGAAAUGCAGAAAUCAUCCAUUUUCUGCAUCGAUCACAGUGGGAGCUGCAGACCGGAGCUGUUCCUGUUUGCCCAUCCUCUCCCUGCUUUCUUUACCUCUGAGGUUGGAUUCUCCCUGUGGGAUCCUGCAAUCCUUCUGCCCCAAAAAAACUAUUAUAGCAGGAGGGAACCUGUUCCUGCUCACUCUUUGCCUUCUCCUUCUCAUCCUAGAGAGCCUGACUGUGCCCUAGUUUUCUGAGGAGUGAGUGAUUCUGGGGUGCGGAGCUGGAUGAGGAAACUCAGGCUCAGAGAGGGAUUUCCACCUAAUGUGCCUGGAAACCAUGUGUAGCUACCCAAUAAGGCCUUUCUAUGUUCAGAAGGUCAUGGACCAGGGGUGUUGGUAUCGGAGCUUUGUAGAGACAGUUUUGACCCCUGUACUUAGAGUAGGGGGUGUGUUUGCCACGGAGAGUGUGUGUGGGCAGCUGUGUGUGAGCCUGUGUGGGUUCUGUGUGUGUUCCUGUGUGAAUAUAUGUGUGUGCUCCUUCAUGGACACAGCAUGCAUGUAGUGGGCCUAGCAAGGCAGAGAGAAAUCAGGAGACUAGGGACACAUUGCUGAGUGAUAGUAUCUUCCUACUGGGCAGGACUUGAGGUGUGCAAAGGUGUGCAUGAGUACUGCAAAAGCAGUUCAAAGAGCAGAGAGGUGGGGCCAGAAUAAAUAUGUUGCAGACAGGCAGUCAUCAGGGAGGAAAGUGAGGAUUCCCUGCCAAAAUGCCUGAGGGCUUCCCUGCCUACUUCUGUGUUCUUAAAUCCUCCUGUCUGAACAGAGGCCAGACUCUGGUUUCCCCCACAGCCUGUCUGUGUCUGUCCUCUGCAAAGCCAUGUGGCUCUACCUGGCAGUGUUCGUGGGCCUGUACUACCUUCUGCACUGGUACCGGGAGAGGCAGGUGCUGAGCCACCUGAGAGAUAAGUAUGUGUUCAUCACGGGCUGUGACUCUGGCUUCGGGAACCUGCUGGCCAGACAGCUGGAUGCACGAGGCUUGCGGGUGCUGGCUGCGUGUCUGACGGAGAAAGGAGCCGAGCAGCUGAGGGGCCAGACUUCAGACAGGCUGGAGACAGUGACCCUGGAUGUCAGCAAGACAGAGAGCGUUGCUGCAGCCGCCCAGUGGGUGAAGGAGUGCGUGGGAGACAAAGGAGGGAACUCUCCUAUUUUGGGGUGAAGGUGGCUAUGAUUGAACCUGGCUAUUUCAAGACUGCUGUGACCAGUAAGGAGAGAUUCUUAAAGAGCUUCCUGGAGAUUUGGGACCGGUCCAGUCCAGAGGUCAAGGAGGCCUAUGGCGAGAAGUUUGUUGCAGACUAUAAGAAAUCAGCUGAACGAAUGGAGCAGAAGUGCACACAAGAUCUGUCCUUGGUGACCAACUGCAUGGAGCAUGCGCUGAUUGCCUGCCAUCCCCGCACUCGCUACUCAGCUGGCUGGGAUGCCAAGCUUCUCUACCUCCCCAUGAGCUACAUGCCCACCUUCCUGGUGGAUGCCAUUAUGUACUGGGGCUCUCCAAGCCCGGCCAAGGCUCUAUGAAGCCAAGGCUUGGAUGCGUGGUUGCAUGGAUUUGGGGUGUGCUAUGAGGGGUGAUGUAUCCUUGGGAGAGAUAUAAAGUGGAGGGAGGGAGCUGUCAAGUCAGUAGGGCACCAAUCCCUCCUCCUUCAUUACCUCCUGGCCAUGAUUCUCCUGGGAGAUAAUUCUGCUCUCUGGAGAUGUUGGUGGGAAAGUUUCAAGUUAUACAGCUGAGAAACAGGGACCAAAUAGUGGUCCUGGGUGCAUUGUCACCAUGGGUGGCCACUCAAGGGUCCAAGCCUCUUGGGCCAUCCUUGGGCUAACAACUGGGGUGGGUGUGAGCAGGUGGAAGGAGCCUCAGCCCAUGCCGUUACCUCCUGCUUCCUUAUCAGGCUGUGUGUUAAUUCUGGGCCAGUCUACACCCUCCCACGGGGUGGAAAUGGCCUGGAGGAUGUGAGGGCACCCCUCCUCUGAAGAUCCCUGUACACGUGGUGUUGGAACUGGAACCGUUAUGCACCCCCAUAGGCCUCAGGAGUCAUCCCAGAAGCAGUGGCUGGGAGGUGGUGUCCUAAGUAAGGAUCUGUGCAGAGGACAAAUAAAUCAGUUUUUGAUUUGU